rnacentral:lncRNA from 1 species
AUCCUUGCCAUGAGAACACUCAAGAUUUCUUAUUUAGAGAACAGACAAAAAUGAAGGACUGAAAACUAAAGAAAAACAGAAGCACAGAUUUCUUUAUACCUUAUUUGAGUGAAUGUGUGUGGUUCUUUGAUCAUAUCAAAAGAAAACUGUUGAUGACAUGCUGAAAAAAUAAAACAACAUAACAUAUGGCAGAAAGCAUAUCAGCAUAGUACUUCUGUUUUUACACCACUUUCUACUGAAUUUUCCUGAACUACAUUUGCUAAUAUUUUACAAAAUGUAUUGAACUGUUCUGAUUUUUACUAUUUGCCAUUAUGACAGCUUUGGAAAGAACUAAUUCAUUAAAGUAGUCCACUGUUGUCAUAUAAUUUUUUUAACUUCUUUAACACUGAACUGCUUGCUCGGGUAACUGUGAAAAGUAAUAAUUACAAGCCAACAUUUGUAAAAUACAGCAUAUGAGUUUUUAAUGAGGUAUGUGUCCUAUACCAUAUUUCUGCAAGUGUCUGACUACAAAAGCACAAGAUAAAUGCAGACACAGUGAUAUUCCUUUUUGUGCAAUCUUUAGAAAACAUUGUGUGAUAAACCUCAUAUGAGUUUAUGAGUGCUUUACUCUCUGACUCUGGAGGUACUAAUUCCUAUGGAAGCGAGUAAAAGUUGACUGCGCUCAGUCGCUAUGAUUAAGCACAUCUUUACCUGUUCCAGUUGAAAGUCAUAGCAGGAACCUCUAAACUGCGUGUAUAGAAGUCUGAUCUGUGACUCUUUUCAAGGCUAUAUUUUUUUUCAUUUUCAGAUUGUUUUCCCUAAUCCAGAGACUUUAUUAAAUAAUCAUGUGCAAGGUGAAGAUCACAAAUGUAUUCUAUUAAAAGGAGAAAAAACAUUCCUCAUUAGGAAGAGCAGAUGCAUCCCAGCUAAGAGGUUUGAGGAUUAUAGAUUCAUUCAAGAAUUUUCCUUUUUUUCCAGUAUAUUGGCACUUUUUGAAGAGUGUUUCGGAGGGAGCAAGAAUAAAUAAAGAUCCUUCAGGCACUUUCUCAUUUAUGGAUGAGGAAUCAAAGCAGUCUGAAACUUCAUUUUCAGCCUGAUACCCUGAAGAUUGUUGGCUGAUAAUUCUGGAUGGAACAGCUUAUCU